AGAUGGAUCAUUUAUGUAUAAAUUAUCGACAAAUGGUCACUAUUUAUUCACAUCCUGUGAAUAUGUAGAAUGCGAGCAACGCGACUUAAGGCAAUCUGUGUAUCCCGCAACUUGAGCGUAAUUGACUGGUUUGUGAACUCCGCAACUGAGCGCAACUGAUUCUCUCCAACUAAUUGAUUGAUUAAUAUGCAAACUAUGCGAUUUGUGAGUGGUAUGUUGUAAACCAUUUGACUUGGUGAUGUUUACUUGAGCUGUAAACCGUGCGAAUUGGGCGUUAUUGGUAUGAUGUGUGGCCCAUGUAAUUUGAAGGUGAAUUGGUUAAGUUGUGAGCCAUGCGAUAUAAGGAACAACUUGAUUGAACUGUGUGCCAUGUAUUUGGAGGAUUGUUGGUUGAGCUGUGAGCCAGGCGAUUUGAGGAAUACUGAAUAAACCGUGAACCGCGCGCGUCUUGAGAGAAUAUUGGUUAAUUUGUGAGUCACUUGUAUUGAGGGACAACGGUUAAUUUGUGUAACACCCGUAUUAAGGGAUAACGGUGAACGUGUGGACCAACGCGAUUUGAAGGAUAUUGGACAACUUGCAAGUUACCCGACUUGAGGGAUAUUAGUUAAUUUGUGAACCACGUUGAAUGAGUACUGGAUAACUUGUGAACUACGUGAUUUGAAGGAAAGCUGGAUACCGUGACGCGACGUGAAGGGCUAUUGGUUACUUUGUAGACUUAUGCGACAAUAGUGCUAUUGGUUAAAUUGUGGGUUACGCGAAUUGAGAGUCAUUGAUUAUUUUGAGGGGAAAGCGAACUGAGAAUAUGUGAAGAUUUGUGAACCAUGGACAUUAAGGGUUAUGGGUAGAAUUGUGGGCUACGCAGGAUUGCAAGCCAUUGGUAUAUUUUUCAUUAUAGUUCAAAAAUGAUAUUCUACGACCUUCAGCGAUGGAUGUCUCGGCUCUCGUGACGAUGAAGAACGCAGCUAGUUGCGAUAUGCAAUGUGACUUGCAAACUUCUGAGAAUCAUUAGAUUUUUGAACGCAAAAGGUGCUUCUAGGUCAUUGCUUAGGAGCAUGUUCGCUUCAGUGCUUUAUAUGUUUGUUGUCUUAAUCAGUAGACAACGUGUAUAGAUGCUGUUUGUACAGCGUCUCUAAUUCAUUGAUCAGACACUACUUUGGUAUCUCCUUGAAGUGGAUGAUCAAGAAAAUCUAUAAAAAAGCCUGAAUUUGAGCAAGGUUACCCGCUGAAUUUAAGCAUAUUAUUAAGCGGUGGAAGAGAAACUAACUAGGAUUCCCCUAGUAACGGCGAGUGAACAGGGAAAAGCUCAAACUGAAAAUCAGUAGUUUACUACUGAAUUGUAGUUUCGCGAAGUGCAACCUGUGUUUGUUCUAGGCUAAGUCUCUUGGAAAAGGGUACCAAAGAGGGUGAAAGUCCCGUCUUUGCCUACAACUGUUCACAUUCGGUGCAUUUUCAAAGAGUCGCGUUCCUUGAGAUUGGAGCGCUAAGUGGGUGAUAAAUUUCAUCUAAAGCUAAAUACAAACGAGAUUCCGAUAGCAUACAAGUACCGUGAGGGAAAGAUGAAAAGGACUUUGGAAAGAGAGUUAAAAGGAACUGAAGUUGCUGAAGGGUAAGCGGAGGGUUUUGACUGUUUAGUGGAGGUUGGCAUUUGACUUGAUCUUUGCUGAUCGGUUUUGAGUGCCUUGAGCUUCGCGGUGACACUGGAAGGUGAUUGCAAUUACUGAGUAAAGUGAUGAUGGAGUUCCUACGGGUCGACUUCUCUGCUGUUAUCGGUUCGAGCGAUCACUAUGCUAUUGUUACACAUUAGUGGUAGCAAUUUAGUCUCCAGAAAUGUCGAUUCUCUCCGUCCCGUCUUGAAACACGGACCAAGGAGUCUAACUUAUAUGCGAGUACAAGGGUAAAAAACCUACGUGCGAAAUGAAAGUAACAAUCAGGAGGGGCUUCCUGCACUGAUGCCCGGCUAUAAGGCUGAGGUUGAGCAUAUAUGUUAGGACCCGAAAGAUGGUGAACUAUGCCUGGGUAGGGUGAAGCCAGAGGAAACUCUGGUGGAAGCUCGUAGCGAUACUGACGUGCAAAUCGUUCGUCAAACUUGGGUAUAGGGGCGAAAGACUAAUCGAACCAUCUAGUAGCUGGUUCCCUC
rnacentral:misc_RNA from 1 species